AAAAAGGCUUUUUUAAAAGCUUCAGAUAUUUCCUUACAAGAAGAA
rfam:Otolemur garnettii contig020619, whole genome shotgun sequence.